CUGUGCAACACGAGACACGCUCGCGUCCGUGGCGUAAAUGUUACAUCGUGUCGCGGGUAAAUGAUUGCCAGAAAAUUGCAGUUUCCGAUAGGGCCGUUGCUCGGAUCGUUACGGAUCAUUUUCCCUCUUCUUAUCGUCGCUCGGCCUUUAGAAGCUCGCCUUUUCUUUCCUCGUGUGAGAUCGAUACGUACUUCGAAAGUUUCUACGUAGUGAUUACGCGGCCGUUGCUCGUCACGCCACUCCGUUGGACCAGUCUCCGUCGAUAUAAAAAUAUACAAACUUCUCGCAAUCGUUCGUCUUCCGAGAAAUUCGCUCGUGUUAUUUUCCGUUGAAUUUCGUCGAUUCGUACCGUGGGUCCAGUGUCCAGUAAUUUCUCAGUGACGUGUACAAGUGCCUUUCGAUGGAGAAUAAAAAAGUGAUUGUAGUGCAGAUUCGUUUAAAGUUCCGUUAAUCGCGUUCGACGAUCUUCUUGUAAAAAUUUUACUCGAACCAUGUGGAAGUUUAUAGGCGGUUUUAUGCCUUCGUUGAUUGCAUGCUCGACUAACCCGACAGCGACAGUUUUACGGGCUCGUGGAUGGACCGUACAGAUUACUACUACUCGCGAAAAUGAAAUUAAUCUUCGCCAUGUUUAGUCCUGGGAAUGCUGCUUGACGUUUUAAUCUAGUAAGGAUUUUACGACAGGACGCACCGCGCGUCAUUAUACAAGCGGAGAUGCGAAAGGGAUUGGCGAGCGUUCGAAAGGGCCCACCUGUUGCAACCGCCACCACUGCGCUCUCCACCAGCUUAACACGCUGAUCAACGCGCGACCCUGCUCGAGUUCUGUGAAUCUCCACCAGAGGGAGCGCUCUGCAUCGUCACUGUUAACCUUAAAUGGGUGACGUCUGUGCUUCUCUGC